rnacentral:rRNA from 1 species
GUCGACGGCCAUGCCACCUUGAACAAGCCCGAUGUCUGAUCUUGGAAACUAAGCAGGGUCAGGUAUGGUUAGUACUUAGAUGGGAGACCACCUAGGAAGACCAGGUGCCAUAAGCA